CUACGGGAUGCUGCAGUGGGGAAUAUUGGACAAUGGGGGAAACCCUGAUCCAGCAAUGCCGCGUGUGUGAAGAAGGCCUGCGGGUUGUAAAGCACUUUCGGUUGGGAGGACUGCUUCUAGCACUAAUAUUGUUGGAAGUUGACGUUACCUUCAGAAGAAGCACCGGCUAACUCCGUGCCAGCAGCCGCGGUAAUACGGAGGGUGCAAGCGUUAAUCGGAAUUACUGGGCGUAAAGCGCGCGUAGGCGGCUAGAUCAGUCGGGUGUGAAAGCCCCGGGCGUAACCUGGGAACUGCAUCCGAUACUGUCUAGCUUGAGUACAGGAGAGGAGAGUGGAAUUCCACAUGUAGCGGUGAAAUGCGUAGAUAUGUGGAGGAACACCAAUGGCGAAGGCAGCUCUCUGGCCUGAUACUGACGCUGAGGUGCGGAAGCGUGGGGAGCAAACAGGAUUAGAUACCCCCGUAGUC
rnacentral:rRNA from 1 species